rnacentral:rRNA from 1 species
ACUUAAAUUGAAGAGUUUGAUCAUGGCUCAGAUUGAACGCUGGCGGCAGGCCUAACACAUGCAAGUCGAGCGGUAGCACAGAGAGCUUGCUCUCGGGUGACGAGCGGCGGACGGGUGAGUAAUGUCUGGGAAACUGCCUGAUGGAGGGGGAUAACUACUGGAAACGGUAGCUAAUACCGCAUAACGUCGCAAGACCAAAGUGGGGGACCUUCGGGCCUCAUGCCAUCAGAUGUGCCCAGAUGGGAUUAGCUAGUAGGUGGGGUAACGGCUCACCUAGGCGACGAUCCCUAGCUGGUCUGAGAGGAUGACCAGCCACACUGGAACUGAGACACGGUCCAGACUCCUACGGGAGGCAGCAGUGGGG